rnacentral:rRNA from 1 species
AAAGAAGAGGUAUCUUAAUCGAAGAGGGCUGGAACGCCCUACCAUAGAAGGUAAUAGUCCUGUAGAUAAAAAGAGAAAACGUCGAGAUCUAAUCCAGAGUACCACGAGACACGUGAAACCUUGUGGGAAGCAGGGAGGACCACCUCCCAAGGCUAAAUACUACCUAGUGACCGAUAGUGAAGCAGUACCGUGAGGGAAAGGUGAAAAG